rnacentral:rRNA from 1 species
UACGUAGGGGGCUAGCGUUGUCCGGAUUUAUUGGGCGUAAAGAGCGUGUAGGCGGCCAGGUAGGUCUGCUGUGAAAACUCGAGGCUCAACCUCGAGACGUCGGCGGAAACCAUCUGGCUAGAGUCCGGAAGAGGAGAGUGGAAUUCCUGGUGUAGCGGUGAAAUGCGUAGAUAUCUGGAGGAAUACCGGUGGCGAAGGCGGCAUCCUGGACCGACAUUGACGCUGAGGAGCGAAAGCUAGGGGAGCAAACGGG